rnacentral:rRNA from 1 species
UACGUAGGGUGCAAGCGUUAAUCGGAAUUACUGGGCGUAAAGCGUGCGCAGGCGGCUUUGCAAGACAGAUGUGAAAUCCCCGGGCUUAACCUGGGAACUGCAUUUGUGACUGCAUGGCUGGAGUGCGGGCAGAGGGGGAUGGAAUUCCGGCGUGUAGCAGUGAAAUGCGUAGAGAUGUGGAGGAACACCGAUGGCGAAGGCAGCCCCCUGGGCUGAGAUUGACGCUCAGGCACGAAAGCGUGGGGAGCAAACAGG